AUACUUCAAAAUACCAAUCAUUUGAAAAAUAUUCCAGUCCAGAGAUAUACUACUAGUUCAAAAAUGAAACAUAUCACCAUGUUCGUUUUGGUUGUGAUUAUUUCAUUUAGAGAAUGCCAUUCUUGGUGCAGAGCGGAGCUGGUUUCAGAAAAUUCCCUUGGAUGUAGCUAUGAAGGUAACUUCAUACGAAAAGGACGGAGCAGAACCUUUUACCAGCCAAAGUGCGUAAAGUGUAGCUGUUCUAAAACCGUGCUUUCAUGCUGUUCAAUAGGCAUUGAAAUAACAAGCGUGGGGCCAGAAUGUAAAAUUGUCCAGGUGGGUUGUACUCAACGAGCAGUUUUGAAGUCGGAUAGCAAUAAAGAAUGCUCUUCGUUUACUGCAGUUGGCAAGUAAACCAGUGGGACCCUGAUUCGUUAUUGGUGGAAGCGUUGUGGUGUUUAGAAUUAAUUAAAGCCAUAUUCCAGACCGUAUGACACUUUUAACAUGAUAACAUUAUAUAUAAGUAUAUAUUAAAGA